GUGCUCACUUUGGCAGCAUAUAUACUAAAAUUGGAUCAAUACAGAGAUUAGCAUGGCCCCUGCACAAAGAUGACAUGCAAAUUCAUGAAGCAUUCCAUAUUUUU
ensembl:snRNA U6 U6 spliceosomal RNA